rnacentral:rRNA from 1 species
UCGUCACACUAUCAUUAACUGAAUCCAUAGGUUAAUGAGGCGAACCGGGGGAACUGAAACAUCUAAGUACCCCGAGGAAAAGAAAUCAACCGAGAUUCCCCCAGUAGCGGCGAGCGAACGGGGAGGAGCCCAGAGCCUGAAUCAGCAUGUGUGUUAGUGGAAGCGUCUGGAAAGGCGCGCGAUACAGGGUGACAGCCCCGUACACAAAAGCGCAUGUGCUGUGAGCUCGAUGAGUAGGGCGGGACACGUGGUAUCCUGUCUGAAUAUGGGGGGACCAUCCUCCAAGGCUAAAUACUCCUGACUGACCGAUAGUGAACCAGUACCGUGAGGGAAAGGCGAAAAGAACCCCGGCGAGGGGAGUGAAAAAGAACCUGAAACCGUGUACGUACAAGCAGUGGGAGCACCCUUUGGGGUGUGACUGCGUACCUUUUGUAUAAUGGGUCAGCGACUUAUAUUCUGUAGCAAGGUUAACCGAAUAGGGGAGCCGGAGGGAAACCGAGUCUUAACCGGGCGUUAAGUUGCAGGGUAUAGACCCGAAACCCGGUGAUCUAGCCAUGGGCAGGUUGAAGGUUGGGUAACACUAACUGGAGGACCGAACCGACUAAUGUUGAAAAAUUAGCGGAUGACCUGUGGCUGGGGGUGAAAGGCCAAUCAAACCGGGAGAUAGCUGGUUCUCCCCGAAAGCUAUUUAGGUAGCGCCUCGUGAAUUCAUCUCCGGGGGUAGAGCACUGUUUCGGCUAGGGGGCCAUCCCGGCUUACCAACCCGAUGCAAACUGCGAAUACCGGAGAAUGUUAUCACGGGAGACACACGGCGGGUGCUAACGUCCGUCGUGAAGAGGGAAACAACCCAGACCGCCAGCUAAGGUCCCAAAGUCAUAGUUAAGUGGGAAACGAUGUGGGAAGGCCCAGACAGCCAGGAUGUUGGCUUAGAAGCAGCCAUCAUUUAAAGAAAGCGUAAUAGCUCACUGGUCGAGUCGGCCUGCGCGGAAGAUGUAACGGGGCUAAAC